CGUGAUCAUGACUUCCUUCCUCAGUCUUCAGGGCCAGCAACAUAGCAUCUCUCUGACCCUGUUUCUUUUUUCUUUUUAUUUUAUUUUAUUAUUAUUAUACUUUGGCAAAGUACAGUCCACAAACAUGAGUGUCUAUUUCUUGGGAAUCUUCUAUAUAACUAAGCCUUGUUAGCCUUUGGCUCAGGGGGCCUACUGUAUGCACAAAUUCUGCAUCCAAAAAGCAGUGCUAAGUCCAUUCUCUAGUUACCAUAAACGACUUGACAAAAUCAACAGAACGCUGAUGAGCCAAUCUUCUGAUAAUGGGAGUGAAAAGAUAGAAUGUCUAGAUCUGGACCAAAACCAGCUCAACCAUUUGCAUGGCAAUUUCAAAUAUAGAUAGGGUCUGAAAGAAAAUUUGUAUUGCCGAGUUAUGAAGAAAUGAAUUUGCAUUUUGCCUGGGCCACUCAAUAAUUAUUCUUUAAAACUAACAAAGAGCAGGCAAGAUAUAGGACAAUUAUAGGAAGGAGAGCAAAUAUGGAAUCAAUCUUGCAGCAAGAGCCCAGAAAUGACUGUCCAAUAAUGAAACAAUUUGAAGAGAGAAAAAUCUGUAAACAUUUAGAGGGACAGUGAAAUCAUAAGCAAUAAGGGGAAAGAUUUGUGAAUAUCAAACCCUGCCAAGUCUGAAGUUCUCCUCCCCCCACACUAAGUUUUUAGAAUUAUUCGAUUAAAUAAAUGUUUAGAAAGCCACCCCACAUUUGGGGAUGCAAUUAAUAAUGAGUAUAGAAAAGAAUUACGGCAAACUAAAUAUAGAAGGGAACUUCCAAGAGCAUCUGGUUCAGCCAUGCAAUGUAACAGAUGAAGAA
rnacentral:lncRNA from 1 species